rnacentral:rRNA from 1 species
AGGGCACCACCAGGAGUGGAGCCUGCGGCUUAAUUUGACUCAACACGGGAAAACUCACCCGGCCCGGACACUGGAAGGAUUGACAGAUUGAGAGCUCUUUCUUGAUUCAGUGGGUGGUGGUGCAUGGCCGUUCUUAGUUGGUGGAGUGAUUUGUCUGGUUAAUUCCGAUAACGAACGAGACUCUAGCCUACUAAAUAGAUCGCCGGCUUACAAACGCCGGCGAGACUUCUUAGAGGGACAGGCGGUGAUUCAACCGCACGAAACAGAGCAAUAACAGGUCUGUGAUGCCCUUAGAUGUCCGGGGCCGCACGCGCGCUACACUGAAGUGAUCAGCGUGCUUUUUCAACCUACUCUGUCAAGAGUGGGGAACCCAAUGAACCUUCUUCGUGAUUGGGAUAGGGGAUUGUAAUUAUUCCCCUUGAACGAGGAAUUCCCAGUAAGCGCGAGUCAUAAGCUCGCGUUGAUUACGACCCUGCCCUUUGUACACACCGCCCGUCGCUACUACCGAUUGAAUGUUUU